rnacentral:lncRNA from 1 species
UGCAUUUCCAGGAAACAUCACACCAUUCAUUCGAUUUAAACUAUUGGAAUUGUUUUUCUCUGAAGAAGGAUAAACACAGCUAACAACCAUCACGUUCUUUUCUACUCCUCUGAGAAAUUUGUCUGUUCCUGUAUAGUUUCUCCUUGGAUCUGUUAACAAUUCACAUAAUCGCUGAAUAGUAAAAGGGAUACGGUUAAAUCCAGUGACAGUUUUCAGUAUUCUUCCCUUUGUUUCAUCAAAGGGAAUAUAUUCGACUUUAGGGUUGGGAGGACCUCUUGGCGCAGGAGCUGAAGUUCUGAAAUCAUCCAUCACUUUCUCCAGUUUGAAAAUAAAAUAGCCUUUAAAUUGGGACCACUGAAUCUGUUUCUCCAGUCUUGGCUACAUGACAAAAGGAACUGAUCCAGGACAGGACAGACUUUCUUUUUUGCCUCUUCUCAAAAUCUUCCAGCGCCUCCUGGAGCCUGUCGACGUCCAUGGCUUCCCGGAGUCCCUCACAGCCUCCGCCUCCCUCCGCGGGUCUCUUGGGGACCGGAACGCCUCCCCCCACCCCCCGACGUCCUCCCACUCCCUCGCACACCCUCCAGCACGCAGGCCAAGUGGGGUGGGGGGGAACGAAGGGAGCCGGGGAAGCGUGUGAGAGAGUGAGACCGACAGAGUGAGCACCUCCCCAAGCCGCUACCACCAGCCCUCCAACAUGGCGCCUGGCACAUCACCCUAAAAAGUCAUUUCUUGGAGAAGCGAUGGAUGACAGAGAUUAAUCUGAGAGUUACUAUUAAUGGAGAAACUUAGAACUUACCAUUUUUCCUGUGAGGUUUCGGUGCUGAUACUUCUAUUCUGUGAGUUCUGGCAAUUGUGUCCGUUCACCCAGCCUGGUGAUGCAGCAGGUGUCACAGAAGGACCCUGUCCCAGCUGGUCCUGCUCCACUGCUAGGAUGGUGUGCCCUCUGAUCUGUGACCGUGUCUUGAGGGGAGACCAGGCCCUUGAUCACAAGCGUAUCCAUGGUGAGGUUCCGUGGAUGGAAGCUCAUGGAUGUUCCUUCCUGAUGUUCAUCUGCCACCUUGCUAUUGAAUGCAUCCUGUUUAUAACUGUCUUCUAAAUAUUGAAUAGAAAUAAAGCGUUUUUACAGUAUGGGUAAGGUAUAAAGAAUAUUGACACAUUGGACACAGAGGACCUCCACCAAGUUUAGGGAGUAGAAUCUGAAGAGACAUAACUUUGGAUGCUCCCUGGAGGCCCUGCCUGAGUCCCAGUCCCUUCCCUUCUCCUACGGAGGGAAUCACUUCUUGCUUUAGUCUUUAUUAUUUGCACACUUUCCUUCAUAGUACAUUUCUUUCACCGUGUGUGUACAUCCCUAAAAAAUAAGCCAUUUAGUUUUUGAACUUUCUGUUUUCUUUCUGAGGCAGGGUCUUGCUCUGUUGCCUCGGCUGUAGUUUUGAACUUUGACGUGAGGGAAUUCUCCUGCAUGGCUGCUCCUACACUGCAUGGCUCUGAGCACCUGCUCUGUGUCUAUUUUUGUCCUCCAUUCUCUCCCUGAGACCCACCCACACUGACAUGGCUCAUUUUCAUUGCUGCAUGGUCUCCCGUCGUCUGAGGGGAGCAUGGGAAAUGUCUUCAUCUUCCCGUGGAUGAGUGUUUGGCCAGGUUGGGGCCCUUAGGACUGUGUUUUGUUGGGAACGUUCUUGGGCAUUUCUUUUGUACACAAGCGCAAGUUUCUUCUGGUCAGUAGCUUUCAAGUUUUAAAAUUUCAUCCCAGGUAAGAAAUGUAAUUUUCCUCAUAACCCACAACACACACUCUUUCAUAUACAAGCAUAGCAGAAAUAUACUUCACAAGCGUUAGCAGUGCCUGGUGUUCCUGCUUCUCACCAUUCUCCCCAACGCUGGCAUGGAUUGGGUUGUGAGAUUUUUGCCCGUCUGGUGAGUGUCACGUGAUAUCUCCCCCGUUAGGCUGAGCCCCUCUUCAUGUUUUCAUUAGCCGUUCCUCCACAUUUCCUCUUCUGUGGAGGGCCGGUUCAGCUCUUUUGCCCAGUUUCUGUUAAGUUGUUUGAAUUUUUGCACUUUUCCUUUAUUAUUCCUAUUAUUAUGUUUUUGAGACAGAGUCUCACUCUGUCACCCAGGCUGGAGUGCAGUGGCGUGAUCUCAGCUCACUGCAACCUCCACCUUCUGGGUCAAGUGAUUCUCCUGCCUCAGCCUCCUGAGUAGCUGGGAUUACAGAUGGGUGCCACCACACCCGACUAAUUUUUGUAUUUUUACUAGUGAUGGGUUUUCACCAUGUUGGCCAGGCUGGUCUGAAACUCCUGACCUCAGAAUAUUUUCCCUGGAUAUACUAUUCUGGGAUGAAAGUUUUUUUUCCUUCAGUUCUUUAAAUAUGCCAUGCCCCUCUCUCCUGGCUUAUAAUGUUUCCACUGAAAAGUCUGCUCCAAGAUAUACGGGAGCUCCUUAUAUGUUAUUUGUUUCUUUUCUCCUUCUGCCUUCAGAAUUUUUUCUUCAUCCUUGACUUUUGGGAGUUUGAUUAUUAAAUACCUUUGGUUUAAAUCUACUUGGUGUUCUACAAUCUUCUUGCAUUUGAAUAUUGAUAUAGUUCUCUAGGUUUGGGAAGCUGUUACUAUCUCUUUGAACAGAUUUUCUAUGCUGAUCUCUCUCUCUACCUCCUCUAAUGCUUAGAUUUGUUCUUUUGAGGCUAUUUUCUAGAUCUUGUAGGUGUGCUUCAUUGUUUUUAUUUUAUUUCUUGCUUUAUAGUUUUUUAUUCUUUUUUCUUUUGUCUUCUCUGACUGUGUGUUUUCAAAUAGCCUGUCUUCAACCUCACUAAUUCUUUCUUCUGCUUGAUCUGUUCUGCUGGUAAGAGAUCUCAUGCAUUCUUCAGUAUGUCAAUGAUAUUUUUCAGGUCGAGAAUUUCUGCUCGGUUUUAAAAAAUUAUUUCAAUCUCUUUGUGAAAUAUAUUUGAUACGAUUCUGAAUUCCUUCUCUGUGUUGUCUUGAGUUUCCCUGAGCUUCCUCUAAACAGCCAUUUUGAGCGUUUUCUCUGAAAGUUCACAUGUCCAUCACUCUGAGAUUGGUCACUCCUGCCUUCUUUAGUUCAUCUUGUGAGGUCAUGUUUUCCUGGAUGCUCUUGAUGCUUGUGGAUGUUGGUCAAUGCCUGGGCAUUAAAGAAUUAGUUAUUUAUUGUAA